AUAGUGGCGAACGGGUGAGUAACGCGUUGGUGACCUGCCCUGAAGAGGGGGAUACCGGAUCGAAAGGUCCGCUAAUACCGCAUACGCUCUGUCUAGUUAGAGAGGACAGAGGAAAGCCGAAAGGCGCUUUAGGAGGGACCUGCGUCCCAUCAGCUAGUUGGUAAGGUAGCGGCUUACCAAGGCGAUGACGGGUAGGGGACCUGAGAGGGUGACCCCCCACAAUGGAACUGAAACACGGUCCAUACACCUACGGGUGGCAGCAGUAGGGAAUAUUGGUUAAUGGGCGAAAGCCUGACCCAGCAACGCCGCGUGAACGAUGAAGGCCUUCGGGUUGUAAAGUUCUUUUGGCAGGGAUGAGGAAGGACAGUACCUGUCGAAUAAGUCUCGGCUAACUACGUGCCAGCAGCCGCGGUAACACGUAGGAGACGAGCGUUAUCCGGAUUUACUGGGUGUAAAGCGCGUGCAGGCGGCAUGGUAAGUUGGAUGUGAAAGCUCCUGGCUUAACUGGGAGAGGUCGUUCAAGACUGCCAGGCUAGAGGACAGCAGAGGGGAGUGGAAUUCCGAGUGUAGCGGUAAAAUGCAUAGAUAUUCGGAAGAACACCAGUGGCGAAGGCGGCUCCCUGGGCUGUAACUGACGCUCAGACGCGAAAGCUAGGGUAGCAAACGGGAUUAGAUACCCUGGUAGUCCACGCCCUAAACGAUGCGAACUAGGUGUUGGGGAAGGAGACUUCUUUAGU
rnacentral:rRNA from 1 species